UCAAGCUAUAAAGAGCAUAGGGUGGAUGCCUUGGCACCAAGAGCCGAAGAAGGACGUGGUCAGCUGCGAUAAGCCAUGGUCAGCCGCAAGCAGGCAAUGACCCAUGGAUUUCCGAAUGCGGAAACGCGGCACGUUAACAGCGUGUCAUCAUGUCAUGAAUAAAUAGUGACAUGAGGGGAACCCGGUGAACUGAAACAUCUAAGUAGCCGGAGGAAGAGAAAGAAACAUCGAUUUCCUUAGUAGCGGCGAGCGAAAGGGAAAGAGCCCAAACCGAGGGUCUACGGACGUUCGGGGUUCGGACUUGCAAAAAUCGAAGUACUUAUAGACGAAGAGGUUUGGAACUUCCUACCAAAGAGGGUAACAGUCCCGUAGUCGAAAUGAGUACAAGAGGGCGAGAAUCCAGAGUACCACAGGACACGAGUAAUCCGGUGGGAAGACGGGGGGCCCACCCCCCAAGGCUAAAUACUACUUGGUGACCGAUAGCGUAUAGUACCGUGAGGGAAAGGUGAAAAGAACCCCGGGAGGGGAGUGAAAGAGUACCUGAAACCCUAUGUUUACAAGCAGUGGGAGCGAGAGCGACCAUGUACUUUUUGUAGAACGGGCCGGCGAGUUACUGUGUGCAGCGAGGUUAAGUUGUUAAGCAACGGAGCCGAAGGGAUACCGAGUCUGAAAAGGGCGUAAAGUUGCAUGCAGUACACCCGAAACCGGGUGACCUAUCCAUGGACAGGAUGAAGCGACGGUAAGACGUCGUGGAGGUCCGAACCACACGUACGUGAAAAGUGCGGGGAUGAGCUGUGGAUAGCGGAGAAAUUCCAAUCGAACUCGGAGAUAGCUGGUUCUCCCCGAAAUAGCUUUAGGGCUAGCCUCGAUUUAGAUUACCGGGGGUAGAGCACUGAAUGGGCUAGGGGGCCACAAAGCUUACCGAACCCUAUCAAACUUCGAAUACCGGAUAAUUGAUGAUCGGGAGUCAGACAGUGUGAGAUAAGUUUCAUUGUCGAAAGGGAAACAGCCCAGAUCUACGACUAAGGUCCCAAAGUUCAAGUUAAGUGGAAAAGGAUGUGCAAUUGCGUAGACAACCAGGAUGUUGGCUUAGUAGCAGCCAUUCAUUCAAAGAGUGCGUAAUAGCUCACUGGUCGAGUGAUUGUGCGCCGAAAAUGUAACGGGGCUAAACUUGACACCGAAGUCUAGGCAGAAGGAAACUUCUGGGUAGGGGAGCAACGUGUACGGGCAGAAGCAGAAGCGGAAGCGACUGUGGACUGUACAGGAGAGAGAAUGCCGGCAUGAGUAGCGAGAGCAAAGUGAGAAUCUUUGCCGUCGAAAGCCUAAGGUUUCCUGAGGAAGGCUCGUCCUCUCAGGGUAAGUCGGGACCUAAGCCGAGGACAAUAGUCGUAGGCGAUGGACAAUCGGUUAAUAUUCCGAUACCGCCGAGCAACCGGAUGCAGUGACACAGAAGGAUAGGCAGAGCGUGGCGAUGGUAGACCACGUCCAAGCAGUGAGGCUGUUGUGUAGUGAAGUACGCACAACGGAAGGCUGGGCUGUGAUGGGGAACGAUUACGAUCGGUAAGCUGCUGAAUUCACGCUGGCGAGAAAAGCUGCUACGAAGCGAAGGCGCCCGUACCGCAAACCGACACAGGUAGGCGAGGAGAGAAUCCUAAGACGAGCGGGAGAACCCUUGUUAAGGAACUCGGCAAAAUGACUCCGUAACUUAGGGAGAAGGAGUGCCCAGGAAUGGGCCGCAGAGAAUAGACCCAAGCGACUGUUUACCAAAAACACAGGUCUGUGCGAAGUAGAGAUACGACGUAUACGGGCUGACACCUGCCCAGUGCCGGAAGGUUAAGGGGAAAUGUUAGGGCAACCGAAGCAUGGAACUUAAGCCCCGGUGAACGGCGGCCGUAACUAUAACGGUCCUAAGGUAGCGAAAUUCCUUGUCGGGUAAGUUCCGACCCGCACGAAUGGUGUAACGAUUUGGGUACUGUCUCAACAAGGGACCCGGCGAAAUUGUAGUAUGUGUGAAGAUGCACAUUACCCGCGAUAGGACGGAAAGACCCCGUAGAGCUUUACUGUAGUUUAACAUUGGAUUCCGGUAACAUAUGCACAGGAUAGGUGGGAGGCGGAGAAGCAGUGAUUUCGGUUGCUGCAGAGCCGACGUUGGGAUACCACUCUUGUGUUACUGGGGUUCUAACCUGUGGCCGUGAUCCGGCACAGGAACAGUGUUAGAUGGGCAGUUUGACUGGGGCGGUCGCCUCCAAAAGAGUAACGGAGGCGUCCAAAGGUUCCCUCAGAAUGGUUGGAAACCAUUCGAAGAGUACAAAGGCAGAAGGGAGCCUGACUGCGAGACCGACAGGUCGAGCAGGGACGAAAGUCGGGCUUAGUGAUCCGGCGGUAUAGAGUGGAAUUGCCGUCGCUCAACGGAUAAAAGCUACCUCGGGGAUAACAGGCUUAUCUCCCCCAAGAGUCCACAUCGACGGGGAGGUUUGGCACCUCGAUGUCGGCUCGUCGCAUCCUGGGGCUGGAGAAGGUCCCAAGGGUUGGGCUGUUCGCCCAUUAAAGCGGCACGCGAGCUGGGUUCAGAACGUCGUGAGACAGUUCGGUCCAUAUCCGGUAUACGCGCAAGAGAUUUGAACGGAGUCUUCCUUAGUACGAGAGGACCGGGAAGAGGGGACCUCCAGUGUACGGGUUAUUCUGCCAAGAGUAAACGCCCGGUAGCUGUGUUCCAAGCGGAUAAGUGCUGAAAGCAUAUAAGUACGAAGCCCACCGUAAGAUGAGAUCUCUCAUAGCAUAAGCUAGUAAGUCCCGUUGCAGAUUACAACGUUGAUAGGUCGCAGGUGUAAGAGUGGCAACAUUUUCAGCCGAGCGAUACUAAUAGGACGAGGGCUUUCCUU
rnacentral:rRNA from 1 species